UAAUACGGAGGGUGCAAGCGUUAUCCGGAAUUAUUGGGUUUAAAGGGUGCGUAGGCGGAAAUUUAAGUCAGUGGUGAAAUCCUACAACUCAACUGUAGAAUGGCCAUUGAUACUGAAUUUCUUGAAUCUGAUUGAAGUAGGCGGAAUAUGGCAUGUAGCGGUGAAAUGCUUAGAUAUGUCAUAGAACACCGAUAGCGAAGGCAGCUUACUAAGUCAGUAUUGACGCUAAGGCACGAAAGCGUGGGGAGCGAACAGGAUUAGAUACCCUGGUAGUCCACGCCGUAAACGAUGAUUACUCGCUAUUGGCGACACACUGUCAGUGGCUAAGCGAAAGUGAUAAGUAAUCCACCUGGGGAGUACGAUCGCAAGGUUG
rnacentral:rRNA from 1 species